GUGGGGAAUAUUGGACAAUGGGCGCAAGCCUGAUCCAGCCAUGCCGCGUGAGUGAUGAAGGCCUUAGGGUUGUAAAGCUCUUUUGUCCGGGAAGAUAAUGACUGUACCGGAAGAAUAAGCCCCGGCUAACUUCGUGCCAGCAGCCGCGGUAAUACGAAGGGGGCUAGCGUUGUUCGGAAUCACUGGGCGUAAAGCGCACGUAGGCGGACCAUUAAGUCAGGGGUGACAGCCUGGAGCUCAACUCCAGAACUGCCUUUGAUACUGAUGGUCUCGAGUAUGGAAGAGGUUGGUGGAACUGCGAGUGUAGAGGUGAAAUUCGUAGAUAUUCGGAAGAACACCAGUGGCGAAGGCGACUCACUGGCCCAAUACUGACGCUGAGGCGCGAAAGCGUGGGGAGCAAACAGGAUUAGAAACCCUAGUAGUCC
rnacentral:rRNA from 1 species